AGUAGCCGCGGUAAUUCCAGCUCCAAUAGCGUAUAUUAAAGUUGUUGCAGUUAAAAAGCUCGUAGUUGAAUUUCGGGAUUCGUCGGUUGGUCGGGCUUCACUGUCCGCACUGACCUGACGGGUUCCUACCUUCUGAAUAACCAGCAUGCUAUUAAGUUAGUGCGUUGGGGAAGCAGAGCUAUUACCUUGAAAAAUUAGAGUGCUUAAAGCAGGCUUGUGCUUGAAUAGAUUAGCAUGGAAUAAUAAAAUAGGACGGCAUGGUUCUAUUUUGUGGUUUCUAGGAUCACCGUAAUGAUUAAUAGGGAUAGUUGGGGGCAUUAGUAUUCAAUUGUCAGAGGUGAAAUUCUUGGAUUUAUUGAAGACUAACUUCUGCGAAAGCAUUUGCCAAGGAUGUUUUCAUUAAUCAAGAACGAAAGUUAGGGGAUCGAAGACGAUCAGAUACCGUCGUAGUCUUAACCAUAAACUAUGCCGACUAGGGAUCGGAUGAUG
rnacentral:rRNA from 1 species